UGACAUUAGCUGCAGAAUAAGCACCGGCUAACUCUGUGCCAGCAGCCGCGGUAAUACAGAGGGUGCAAGCGUUAAUCGGAAUUACUGGGCGUAAAGCGAGCGUAGGUGGCUUGAUAAGUCAGAUGUGAAAUCCCCGGGCUUAACCUGGGAACUGCAUCUGAAACUGUUAGGCUAGAGUAGGUGAGAGGAAAGUAGAAUUUCAGGUGUAGCGGUGAAAUGCGUAGAGAUCUGAAGGAAUACCGAUGGCGAAGGCAGCUUCCUGGCAUCAUACUGACACUGAGGCUCGAAAGCGUGGGUAGCAAACAGGAUUAGAUACCCUGGUAGUCCACGCCGUAAACGAUGUCUACUAGUCGUUGGGUCCCUUGAGGACUUAGUGACGCAGCUAACGCAAUAAGUAGACCGCCUGGGGAGUACGGCCGCAAGGUUAAAACUCAAAUGAAUUG
rnacentral:rRNA from 1 species